UGGGGAAUAUUGGACAAUGGGGGAAACCCUGAUCCAGCCAUGCCGCGUGAGUGAUGAAGGCCUUAGGGUUGUAAAGCUCUUUUGUCAGGGAAGAUGAUGACGGUACCUGAAGAAUAAGCACCGGCUAACUUCGUGCCAGCAGCCGCGGUAAUACGAAGGGUGCUAGCGUUGUUCGGAAUUACUGGGCGUAAAGCGCGCGUAGGCGGCUUAUCAAGUCGGGGGUGAAAUCCUGGGGCUCAACCCUAGAAUU
rnacentral:rRNA from 1 species